CACGUAGGGCGCAAGCGUUGUCCGGAAUUAUUGGGCGUAAAGAGCUCGUAGGCGGUUUGUCGCGUCUGCCGUGAAAGUCCGGGGCUCAACUCCGGAUCUGCGGUGGGUACGGGCAGACUAGAGUGAUGUAGGGGAGACUGGAAUUCCUGGUGUAGCGGUGAAAUGCGCAGAUAUCAGGAGGAACACCGAUGGCGAAGGCAGGUCUCUGGGCAUUAACUGACGCUGAGGAGCGAAAGCAUGGGGAGCGAACAGGAUUAGAACUACCG
rnacentral:rRNA from 1 species